rnacentral:misc_RNA from 1 species
GAUGAAGAACGUAGCGAAAUGCGAUAAGUAAUGUGAAUUGCAGAAUUCAGUGAAUCAUCGAGUCUUUGAACGCACAUUGCGCCCCCUGGUAUUCCGGGGGGCAUGCCUGUCCGAGCGUCAUUGCUGCCCUCAAGCACGGCUUGUGUGUUGGGCCCCCGCCCCCCGGUCCCGGGGGGCGGGCCCGAAAGGCAGCGGCGGCACCGCGUCCGGUCCUCGAGCGUAUGGGGCUUUGUCACCCGCUCUGUAGGCCCGGCCGGCGCCCGCCGGCGACCCCAAUCAAUCUUUUUCAGGUUGACCUCGGAUCAGGUAGGGAUACCCGCUGAACUUAAGCAUAUCAAUAAGCGGAGGG